ACUUGUGAAGUAUAAAUCUGUAACUUGUGAAUCUAUGAAUCACAAAGGCCGAGGGCCAAUUUGUGAAGUUAUGCAUCUAAGUUAAGCCAAGGGCUAAUUUGUGAAUGUGUGAACCCAUCAGGCCAAGGGCCCACCUAUGAAGUUGUGAACCGACAAGACUGUCCUGAAAUGUGUACAGAAUCAGACUAACCACAGGAUUUUUGCAUUUACUUAUCUAAUUAGAGAAAUGUGUACAUUGCACUCCACCUGGAGGUCAGUUUUAACCCAUGGCAUCCGUGCCUCUUUUGUCAACCUCAGAGUAUCCAGGCACUUAAGUGAAGGCAGCCCCUUUUGCUAAACUUUUGAUUUUACACUCUGAUUGUUUGCUUAAGGUUGAUGUAUAUAUAAUUCCUUUGCCUAUCCAUGUUGUUUUACGCCCAAUUCUAAGGGCUGGGUCUGUAUAUAUAUAUGUACAUAGCUAACUCUCUGGUGCACGUCACUGUAUGUUUAUUUGCCUUAUGUUCUGUCUGUGAUCCUGGCAUGAUAGUGGUCGCUCAAUGGAUGCAAUUCUUUUAUUUAUGUUAAUUUAUAUUGGUAAAUGCUUCCGUUCAGGCCCCAUAUGAUAUGUAUACCAGGUUAUGCGUCCGUUUCUGUGUUGGUCAUGCCCAAACUUUUACGGGCAAGUUUAGGGCGUGACAUUAUCUCAUUUCAAUCAAUCAAUCAGUCUUCAAUGUGUGUAUAUAUAUAUACACAUGUACAGGGCAUUAGUCCAAGACUACCUCAAGACUUAGAUCUUUCAUUCUCUCUCUUUCCUCAGUUUGGCCAUGUAUUGACAGGUUGACAGCUUGAAGGAAAAACUCCUUGAAAAAGUAGAACAAGCUUGAUUCUAGAGAAGUAAGCAAUGCUUCAUUGGAUCAUGAUGGACCUUUUAAAUAAGGAAAUUACCCUGACUCAGUUCCUUCUGCUACUUCUAAGGUUUCUACUCGGGAAUUUGUGGAUGUUGUCUUUGCUUAUUGGGUAAUAUUCCCUGAUUCAGAGCAGCAACUAAUCAAUCUUGCACAAGACCUUGUUACCAGUGACGCUUUGAUGGAACAAAUUAAAGCAUUGGUCUAUCGUCACCCAGACAAACUCUAUAUGGAGACAACUGGAGGUAAAAACAAGGGCUACCGUGCAGAGAUGAUUGUUGUUACUUAUUGCCGAAAUAGGAAAGACAGAUGACAAGUCAAAGUUUCGGAUCCUUCUUAUAAUUACUUGUCUUCCAGAGUUUUGGGCAGCAUGGAAGGGAGCUCAUUACAUCUGAGCUUGCAUUAAGGAUACUCUCCAUCUUGAGUGGAGAGCAAUUUCCACCCAACAUGGAUCCAAUUUCUUUAAACAACACGUUUGAGAGGCUUGUGAUAAAGAUGCUAUCCUUUUAAGUACGUGAUGAUAUCUUCGCAUAUCGAUAUUGGAGCUCACUAUUGAUACUAAAACAAGCAAUAAUAUAUAUGUUUUUUUUUUGUGCUGUCGAUAUUUUUGUUUUGUUUUAGAUACAAAUUUGAGUUCUUGAAUUAUCAAAAAUUAUUAGUAUUGUUGAAGGAUGUUUUAUAUAUUUUUGUUAGGAAUGUUUGGUUAACACUGUAUUGUUACAUGGUACAUAUAUAUUAUUAUUCUUAUAUAUGAUUUUGUGAA